rnacentral:rRNA from 1 species
CCCGGGCGUUGGUUGACCCGGGCGAAAGGGAGCGAAAUUAGAGUAGCGAAGUCCGCGAUGUUCGGAGGCGAGAAAAGCUCUGAGGUAUGCUAAGGUGCCCGUACCGCAAACCGACACAGGUAGAUGAGGAGAGAAUCCUAAGGCCAACGGGAGAAGGGUUGUUAAGGAACUCGGCAAAUUGACCCCGUAACUUCGGAAGAAGGGGAGCCCCCUACGGGGGGUCGCAGAGAAAUGGCCCAAGCAACUGUUUACCAAAAACACAGGUCUAUGCUAAAUCGAAAGAUGACGUAUAUGGGCUGACGCCUGCCCGGUGCCGGAAGGUUAAGAGGAGAUGUCAGGCAACGAAGCAUUGAAUUUAAGCCCCGGUAAACGGCGGCCGUAACAAUAACGGUCCUAAGGUAGCGAAAUUCCUUGUCAGGUAAGUUCUGACCCGCACGAAUGGCGUAAUGAUUUGGGCACUGUCUCAACAGCCCGCCCGGCGAAAUUGUAGUACUGGUGAAGAUGCCAGUUACCCGCAACUAGACGGAAAGACCCCGUGGAGCUUUACUGCAGCUUAAUACUGAAAUUCGGUAGUACAUGUACAGGAUAGGUGGGAGACUGAGAAAUACAGGCGUCAGCUUGUAUGGAGUCGCUGUUGGGAUACCACUCUUGUACUGCUGGGUUUCUAACCUGCGGCCGUGAAUCCGGUCGGGGGACACUGUUAGGCGGGCAGUUUGACUGGGGCGGUCGCCUCCCAAAAGGUAACGGAGGCGCUCAAAGGUUCGUUCAGCACGGACGGAAAUCGUGCAAUGAGUGUAAACGCAUAAACGAGCCUAACUGCGACACCGACGGGUGGAGCAGUAACGAAAGUUGGAGUUAGUGAUCCGGUGGUAUGUGAGUGGAAAUGCCAUCGCUCAACGGAUAAAAGCUACCCUGGGAUAACAGGCUGAUCUCCCCCAAGCGUCCACAGCGACGGGGAGGUUUGGCACCUCGAUGUCGGCUCGUCGCAUCCUGGGGCUGAAUUCGGUCCCAAGGGUUUGGCUGUUCGCCAAUUAAAGCGGCACGCGAGCUGGGUUCAGAACGUCGUGAGACAGUUCGGUCCCUAUCUGUUGCGGGCGUAAGAGAUUUGAAGGGAGCUGUCCUUAGUACGAGAGGACCGGGAUGGACGUACCUCUGGUGCACCAGUUGUCCUGCCAAGGGCAUAGCUGGGUAGCUAUGUACGGACGAGAUAAACGCUGAAAGCAUCUAAGCGUGAAACUCCCCCUAAGAUGAGAUCUCUCAUCCUUUAAGGAGUAAGGACCCAGAAAGACGAUCUGGUUGAUAGGCCGAAGGUGGAAGCGCAGUAAUGUGUGCAGCUGAUCGGUACUAAUAGUCCGAGGGCUUGACC